GAAAUUGAAAGAAGAAAAGAUGAUUCAGAUUCACAGCAUCAAAAUUUUAUCUUAUUUUUUCAAAUCCAUACUUCGAGCUACAUCAAAUGGCAUCCAUAUGAUCGAGGAAUACCUGGAAAUGAACAAAGCAAACAAACGAGGUGAAGAAUUUGCAGUCAAGCAGCAGCAGUACAACAGAAUCAACAACAACAACACUCAGUAAACCAAUUUCAAACCCAGAAUAUGAUGUGCCACAAUCCAAAGAACAAUUUCAAUUGAAUAGUAGCUCAGCAGACUUCAAACCAAAAUUAAAACCAAAUUCAAUCCAUCUUAUUUUUUCCCAAUAUUUCAGCAAAGUGAUCCUUUUAUACAAGGUGUUAGAGCAUCAGAAAUAAGUUUCAACUUUUGCUCUUUUACCCCUCUCCAAUUUUCAGUUUUGCUUAAAAUCCCUAGUUAAAAAUUAGUAUUACAAACAAUCCCCCUCCCCAGCUUCCUAGAAGCUUCCCCAGGCAGUUACAACAAGAUUCCCUCAACCAAUUACCCCAAAUUACCCCUCAUACCUCUGAUAUUUACCCUUAAAUCCAGCCUAGGUCAAGUUGACCCAGGACCCAAACCCUGGCUUGCCAAUUGGUCUAACCCUUCUUCUUUGGGCCUCUGAACUUUCAAGACCCAAUCAAUAAACCCAACCCUUAACAAAUACAAUUUGACAAACCAGAAUUGCAUUGGCGUCAAAAACUAAAAUUUCAACUAAACAACAAAUAGAGGAUACCGCAAACAAAAAUGGAAAACAAACAAACACUAAACCAAACUCUAACUAAUAGAAAACGGAAAUUGGACUAAGAACAAAAAUAAAUGGAAAAUUCUGAGAGAGGGAAGAAACAGAUGUAGCUCGAAAGGAAAUUGCAGAACAAGCAAUAAGGGCCCGAAAUACAUGAACGGGAAAACAAACGGUGAAUUUGCAUGGACUAACCGGUCGUUUCAACUUGGGCCCGAAAUAAGUGUUAUUCGGGUUGUUCUUGUGAGAACGCCCCACUUAACACUUGUUUCUAGUCCAAAAGUUCUUCAGGCUCGGAGAACAAUCGAACCAGACCUUAACGGACAAGACAGAGGCGAAGAGGGAAUUAGGGUCCCAGAUUUGAUUCAAGAUUUGAGGAAUUUGGGAUGGAUUCGAGGGGAACCAUGUUGAGAUUUGAAAAGGGGAGUGCGAGAUGGUUCGUGAGUGUGAUUUUGAAGCAGGUUUGAAGCAGCGCCGCCGGUGCGUGGGUAUAGCGACGUUAGGGUUUCAGGGUGGUGUCUGAGAUGAAGAUGGGGGAGAGAUGAGUCGUUUGGUCUU
rnacentral:lncRNA from 1 species